rnacentral:rRNA from 1 species
GACGGAAGGUGCAAGCGUUGCUCGGAAUCACUGGGCGUAAAGGGCGCGUAGGCGGUGUGUCAAGUCAGGCGUGAAAGCCCCGGGCUCAACCUGGGAACCGCGCUUGAGACUGGCACGCUCGAGUUCGGGAGAGGAUGGUGGAAUUCCCAGUGUAGAGGUGAAAUUCGUAGAUAUUGGGAAGAACACCGAUGGCGAAGGCAGCCAUCUGGACCGACACUGACGCUGAGGCGCGAAAGCGUGGGGAGCAAACAGG